rnacentral:rRNA from 1 species
UACGAAGGGGGCUAGCGUUGCUCGGAAUUACUGGGCGUAAAGCGCACGUAGGCGGAUUGUUAAGUCGGGGGUGAAAUCCUGGAGCUCAACUCCAGAACUGCCUUCGAUACUGGCGAUCUCGAGUUCGGGAGAGGUGAGUGGAACUGCGAGUGUAGAGGUGAAAUUCGUAGAUAUUCGCAAGAACACCAGUGGCGAAGGCGGCUCACUGGCCCGAUACUGACGCUGAGGUGCGAAAGCGUGGGGAGCGAAACAGG